ensembl:snRNA U6 U6 spliceosomal RNA
GGGAGAAAGAGAGCUCACAUGCUAAAAAUUGGAAUGAUACUGAGAAAAGUAUCAUGGCUUCUGUGCAGGGAGGACACCCCAAUUAGUGAAGUGUUCCACAUUUUU